rnacentral:sRNA from 1 species
GUAAACACUUCGCCCCUGCAGGGGUGGAGACUGGCUGUGUUCGGAUGCCGGGGGGGAGAGGUGCAAUCCUCUCCUCGAGGCUGGUGGUUGCGACCACCCCCACUCCCCAAAGGCAGGCUCCAGAGGCGGCGGGACAGAGCUCCUGCGACCCCAGUCGGUGCUCCGGGGAGCUCACCUGCCGAGGAGGACUGGGAGGUGCUGGUCCUAGGGAAGCUCAAGUGGGACCUGGCUGCUGUGAUUGCACAUGAUUUCCUGGCCCUCAUUCUGCACCGGCUCUCUCUGCCCCGUGACCGACAGGCCUUGGUCAAAAAGCACGCCCAGACCUUUUUGGCCCUCUGUGCUACAGAUUAUACCUUUGCCAUGUACCCGCCAUCCAUGAUCGCCACGGGCAGCAUUGGAGCUGCAGUGCAAGGCCUGGGUGCCUGCUCCAUGUCCGGGGAUGAGCUCACAGAGCUGCUGGCAGGGAUCACUGGCACUGAAGUGGUGAGUGCUGGGCAGCUGGGCAGCAGCCUCUCCAUUCAUAAAGUAGUGCUAUGCCCUGAGCCUCCAGUAGAGGGA